CUCAUUAAACAAAACGCAGCGCUCCAUCCUAAUUCUCGCCUUUGUUCAUGCGAGUCUGAUUUCGGCGAGAAUGACGAUCGAUAGUUCUCGCUGUCUGUAACGGAACUCGACUUUAAUGGCAUUAAUACAGACGCAGUACGAGCCCUUCGAUGCGUCGUUUCCGUCGGCGAGUCUCUGCUAUAAAUUUGCUCUAAGACUGCGAUGUUUGGCCUCACCCUAACGCAUUCAGAGAAGCUCAACUCUGUCAGCGACAAUCUGUACCAAUAGAUCGGAGAAGUUGCGAAUCCAUAUAAGAAGGUAAUCUUUGUAAUUGGCCAAACCUUGGCUCCUUUUGUUGAAGACAACUGCAUCCCCUGUUUCGGGUUUGGCCGCUGUGAGUUUGUUUCCCUAUAAAAAUCUUAUCUUCGAUCUAUACUACUCACUAUGUUUUCUUCCAUCAUUAUUCAGCAACGAACCAUGACGAGAAAGUCUUCAGCUUCCACUGUGACAUGUAAAGUUUAAAGCUUUUUAAAAGAAAGAAAAAACAGAUUUUGGAUACUUAAUGUGAAGGUCACGUUCUGAAUGUGAAGGUGACAAGAGGUUUGGCUAUGACCUAGGAAGAAUUCAGUCAACAAGAGAAAUCAACUAUGGAAGCCAUUGUUGACGAGAGGUAAAAGAACGUGCAAUAUUUUCUUCUUAAAUUCAGCAACUUUGUUUUUCCACAAGCUAAUUUUCUGGAGUUCCUUUAACAUUGCAGCUCAUAUGCUUUGUCGAUUUGUUAUAGUCAGUGUUGAAGACGUCCCAUGGGCAGACAUGAGGAAGUUCGAUGACAUGAUCCCUAAGCGUGAAUUCAAUAACUUUCUUCUCCGAUUUGAAGUCCGCCAAGAAUUUUUUUUCCGAUUUGAAGUCAGGUAACACCAGUUUUGGCUCCCAAUACUGCAAAAUUUUGUUCCUUUUCUAGAGUAACAGUCUUUUGAUUCCCUUGGAUUGCAGGCUAAACUUGCUUUAGAGGCUCUUGAAUUUCCUGUGGGGGUAUCUAAUUUUUUUUACUUUUCUUUAUCCCAGUUGCUCUUUCUCGAUACUAUUAUCAAUUAAAUUAUUAUCUUUCUGUUUGUCUGGAUCAGAUGUGUCAUUCUUGAGGAGGGUAACAUCGUUGCUUCAGGGCUUAACCGAACUAAUGAGACAGGCAAUGUAAUCUUUUAUAAACUUUUACCUAUUUCUCUGUAUGAGUAACUCUGAAACAUAAAACAAUGCGAUGACAUAGAGUGUUUAUUGAUUGUCAUGUUGGUUGCUUCGUCUAUGCUACUUACUAAGUCGUUUGUUAUAAUUUUGUUCAGAGAGGCCACAAGACAUGCAGAGAUGAAGCAAUCGAUGAACUUAUUGGACAAUGGCAAAAAGAUAGACUUUCACCUUCACAAGUCGCUGAGAAAUUCUCGAAAUGCGUUCUUUACGUAACAUGUGAACCUUGCAUAAUGUGUGCAUCGACCCUAUCCUUCCUCGUGAAGAAGCUCAAAGAGGAAAAGUGCAGAGGAAUAAUGGCAGACGCAGCUGUAUCUCUUUUCAACUCUGUUCUUUGAUGAAACAUCUUAAACACAGUUUUUUUUUUUUUUUUGUAGUUUUAGCCCCAAAGCCACACCGCCCUGUAGUUCAAAGAGAGAGGACUUAGCCUCUUAGACGCGGACAUGGUUUGAAAAUUGGAGUUUCUGAUUAAAAUAUGAAGAAGUUGAGGUGGAGGUUGUCAAAUGAUGAUUCUAUGUUUGUUUUUGCUACAUUUGGCACAUGAAACGUUAUCAAUUACAUCCAAAACAAUUGUAUAUCCGCCUAAGUUGGAGCUCUCAAUCUCAAGCUACUAAGUUGGUUUUCUAACUUAAGGAAUUAGUUGUAUGUGACUGUAAAGUUUUAUUUUUGUACGGGUAGAUGAUAGACAUGACCAUCACUAGAAGAAUAAAAGAUUAACUCAGUUUUUA